rnacentral:rRNA from 1 species
CCUACGGGUGGCAGCAGUCGAGAAUAUUUCACAAUGGGGGAAACCCUGAUGGUGCGACGCCGCGUGGGGGAAUGAAGGUCUCCGGAUUGUAAACCCCUGUCAUGUGGGAGCAAAUUAAAAUGAUAGUCCAACAAGCGGAAGAUACGGCUAACUCUGUGCCAGCAGCCGCGGUAAUACAGAGGGCUCAAGCGUUGUUCGGAAUCACUGGGCGUAAAGCGUGCGUAGGCGGUUGCGUAAGUCGUGUGUGAAAGGCGCGGGCUCAACCCGCGGACGGCACAUGAUACUGCGAGACUAGAGUAAAGGAGGGGGAACCGGAAUUCUCGGUGUAGCAGUGAAAUGCGUAGAUAUCGGGAGGAACACUCGGGGCGAAGGCGGGUUCCUGGACAUUAACUGACGCUGAGGCACGAAGGCCAGGGGAGCGAAAGGGAUUAGAUACCCCAGUAGUC